CAUCACGUGAUAAUAUUUUCAGCGUAUGGGGUGACCUAAGACGGGGUUUGGAUUCGAUGAUGGAUUUAUUGGACCUUAUACAGUCACAGAGUUUUGAACUAGAGGCAAUAAAGUGUUAUUAAUAUUCUACACACUUUCCAGUUCACCGUUACACACAAAGUAGAAUUUUUAGUCUUCACUAGUCGUAUUCUGGCAACGGAUGUAUCACAGUCUCACUGUAACUUCAUCUCACUUAUGAAGUCUACUUUCACACUCUAAUUCCUUUCUUGUAACUUGCGAAGACCCUGACUCGACUACUCUCGGCUACUGAUCUAUACUGCUUGCUGCUCUAUUUCUACUCCUGUUCUGCCGAACACUUCUUAUAAGGACUUUGCCCGGACCCCAGGGUAAACGUCGUUUUUUGCCAACAGGUCCGUUACCUAAAAUGGAUGACCUAUAUUGAGCGCUUUUGUUGCGGGAAUAUGCUUGUCGAGUUGUUGCCCAAAAAUGGCUGUACACGUCACAAUAUAAUGAAUUCUGUCUUGUGGGAUAUUGCACCACUUCGUAUGUUGAAAGUUACGCAGCGUUUCUGAAGAACACGUCGCCUUCAUCUUCAGGGUAGAAUUAAAAGUCACGGAGAAACCAGCGUGCAGCAGCCGGCCCCGCUGUGACAUCCUCAAAUCCCACGUGAAUGAGUUUUCCUUGUUCUGGGCGAGUGGCAACUUACGUAGCAAAUAGAUACGGAAAUGCAGUACGCUGGAACACAGCCUCGCCCGCUGGCCUUCAGAAUGCGCGUGAGGUCAUAGACGGCGCUAGGUCCAAUUUGAGGGGGGGGGGAGUGUAUGCUCCUAUCCUCUCUUCUUUGCAGUAGACUUGACACAUGCGUGUAUCAGACGCAAAUGUUUUAGUGGGUUUCCUCUUUUAGUUUGUUUACGUCUUUAACUUGCUACAUAAGCAGAGGUGUGCCGCAUCUCUGGCAGUCUUGUUUGUUACGGAGGCGCCCAGGUGAACCUGUUUCCUGUAAUUGACGAGAUUGAAACACUACAUAAACAUCAUUAAAACGUCUCACUUCUGAUCCAGCCGCCAUCAUGCGUAUGUUCGUCAUGUUGCUGGUAGUUCUCAGCGUCGCCGUUGCCGGAUGUGUGGCGCUGCCUUACGUUGGAAGAGACGAGGAAACUGAAUUGUCUCAAGCCAUCCUGGAGAGAGUCCGGCGUGCUCCUCUGCCAGAAGA